rnacentral:lncRNA from 12 species
UGCUGAUGGGGCAAACCAACAAAUCAACCAGCAAGCACGAACUGCUGGGGUGACUUCAGCAGAGCAGAACUCUUCGAGGACUGUCUGGAAGGAAAGAUGAUGUGCUUGUCAGUUGGCUUUGUGGUGCGCAUCAGUUUAGAUGGGUGACUGCAUUUUUCAGGUUCUAUCUGCCAGUCUUUGAGCUCUCCAAAGACAGAAAACCCUUGUGCCCCCACAGCUCGUUGGGAUGGUGACCACAGGCGUGCUGUGCACGGGCACCACGUUUAGGGUAGGAUGGAGAGAUCCAGAGCGUGUGUGUGUGUGAGGAGAGAAGAUGGAGAGGGAACAAAAGCAGCAGCUCCACGGCGGUGCCGGGCCGGGCUCCUUGCCAAGAGUGGCUGUGGCAGCAGCCCUGGCCGGGGUGGUGGCUCCUGCUGCCAGCACAGCUGGGGAUGCUCCUGCUGCCCCCUCCUCUGGGGCACGGGCUGAGGGUGGGCUGGGUGUGGAGCUGGCUCUGGGCUGGGAUUCGGGGUGCUGGUGUCGGGAUGCCGAUGUUGGUGUGGAUGCUGCCGUGUCACCUCACUGUGCCCUGCCCGCAGCGUGUCCCCUGGCCACAGCUCAGCCAGUGGGUUCAAAGGAUAACAAAGUAUGAAUACUUUCAUGGAAGAUCUCCUGCAAACAAUGCAUUUCCAAGCUGUAAAGUUUGUGCAAAA